CAAAAAAAUUAUUAUAAUUGUGUUUACAAUACAAUGUGCUCAAUGACCGAUGCUGCUAUGCUUAGAUCACAUGCAUUAUAAUAUGACACUCUUCUUCGGGGUCGUCGAUAUAUACACGUAAAUUAUUUUUAAUACAAAAUUUAAUUCAAUUUCUAUAUAGAAUUAUCUUGUUUUAAGAUUCUUAGCAACUGCAUGGAGACUCAUUUUAAACUAUUG